rnacentral:rRNA from 1 species
GCUGAGGAUGGGACCGCACCCUAUCAGGUAGUUGGUGGGGUAAUGGCCCACCAAGCCUAUUACGGGUACGGGCCCUGAGAGGGGGAGCCCGGAGAUGGGCACUGAGACAAGGGCCCAGGCCCUACGGGGCGCAGCAGGCGCGAAACCUCUGCAAUGCGCGAAAGCGCGACAGGGCAACCCCGAGUGCCAGGUGCUGAAUCUAGCUUUUCCUUAGUGUAGUGAGCUAGGGGAAUAAGCGGGGGGCAAGCCUGGUGUCAGCCGCCGCGGUAAUACCAGCUCCGCGAGUGGUCGGGACGAUUAUUGGGCCUAAAGCGUUCGUAGCCGGCCUUACAAGCCUCUGGUUAAAUUUCAAGGCUUAACCUUGAGCGUGCUGAAGAUACUGUUCGGCUCGAGGCCGGGAGAGGUGAGAGGUACUUCAGGGGUAGGGGUGAAAUCUUGUAAUCCUUGAAGGACCACCAGUGGCGAAGGCGUCUCACCAGAACGGUCCUGACGGCAAGGGACGAAAGCUAGGGGCACGAACCGGAUUAGAUACCCGGGUAGUCCUAGCCGUAAACGAUACUCGCUAGGUGUCGGCCACGGUGCGACCGUGGUCGGUGCCGUAGGGAAGCCGUGAAGCGAGCCCCCUGGGAAGUACGGCCGCAAGGCUGAAACUUAAAGGAAUUGGCGGGGGAGCACUACAACGGGUGGAGCCUGCGGUUUAAUUGGAUUCAACGCCGGA